CCCCUUUCACAAACGCGUCCAAACCCCUAUAUUCGUUCUGCCGGUUCGCGCCGGCUAUGGCGAUAAACGAACAUCGAAAUAAACCAUCCGGACCCGGGGGCGGUACCCGGCGCCUCCACCACAGCGCGUCACGGCGCGCUGUGGCGGGGGCGAAAUAGGAUCGACGGGGGCGUAAAGGGUGCUUUUUCGCUCGGCAUGAUACCGCCGUUAUCGGGUCAAACCUUAUAGUUGCCAACGACAACUAUGCUCCGGUGGCCGUCGCCGCGUAAUGCGGCGCCCAAACUGGGAUCAAAGCCCUAGGGGUUAGCACUUCUAGGCGGGGCUCGGAGGCGCCUGGCAACAGAAGCCUCCACU
rnacentral:tmRNA from 1 species